rfam:Candidatus Zambryskibacteria bacterium RIFCSPLOWO2_01_FTLL_45_43 rifcsplowo2_01_scaffold_162956, whole genome shotgun sequence.
CGGAGCAUCGUAUAGUGGUAGUAUAUGCGCUUCGGGUGCGUAAGGUUUGGGUUCGAUUCCCAAUGCUCCGA